AUAUUAUGUAUCCAAAAUAUGUAUAAAUAUAUCCAUAUCCCAGAACCCUAGUACACGGAACUGCAACAGGAAUACUUUGAAUCCUUCGGCUUCACUGCUUCCAGUAACUGGACACGCAUAACUAGGAGGCUGUGAGGGGUCAACCACGCCUUGAUUCCAGUCUCAGCCCAGUGAAGGUUAACUCUGUGACCUGGCGUCAAGUUAUUUCCACUUCUUUCAGGCUCAUCUCAGUCGUUGCUUCUUCGAGGCAGUCUCUCCUCAGCGCCUGGGCUCCCAUUUCAUACGGCACCAUGAACUGUCUCGUACCCCUGUCACAAUUCUAAUCAGCAUCUUUUCCUCUUGGGAAUUUCCCACUAUCCACCACAAGGCUAUGUAUGCAUCCUCUGAUCUCAGGACCCCAGAUACAAGGGACACAAGCCCUUCGGUCUGGUUCACACAGAAUCCUCAGCACCUAGGACAAUGCCUGGCUCGGAGCAAGCACCUGAUCAGUUUACUACGGGAAUAAAUACGACCCACAUCGACAAAACUCUCACACAUCCUUGAGAGUCGUGGAUGCAAACUUGAGUAUCUGGAGAGAUAUGCCACAUUUCUCACUAGAGGGCUUAAUGUCAUAAAGAUGUCGAUUCUCCCCAAACUUAACUACUAAAUUAACACAAUUCUAACCAAUGGAAACAUUCUAAAGGGUAUCUGAAAAAUAAUUGCUAG
rnacentral:lncRNA from 1 species